rnacentral:ribozyme from 1 species
UGUGAACGCGCUGUUGCUGUUCGUCGUAUGCUUUACAGUCAAUUGUUUGAAGCUGGAAACACGAACGAAAAUGAAGAUCAAGCUCGUCGCUGUCCUUUGGAAUUGAUCCCAUACACCGGAUACAAUUAC